UGCAAUUGUACAAGUGUUUGGUCAUGCAUAUGUUUGUGUACUGGGUCAUGUUGGAAAAUAUAUUUGUUUUAUGAGACCCAGGUAAAAGAAUCUGACAGCCACUGAUAUACAGGCUGACCUGUGCUGUGUUCUGUGCUCCUGUGGAAUCUGUUCCACCCAGGUGUUUCCAACUACCAACAUGCUUUCUUGAGUACAGAACCUGUCCCCAUGAUGGGUCUAUCGAAUCCACUCUUGACCCCAUCCCAGGGAUUUCCUUAGGGUCUCCAAGGCCCCAAAACCUUUAGGACAAUCCCUAAGGACCCCAGAAUCCAGAUCACAUUCAGAGUUCUCUAAGAUGGUUCCUGCUGACCCAACCACAGAGCCCUUGCUGAACACCACAGAAGAGCUUCUGGAUUCAUUUUUCUUUCUUUCCAUUCUCCUGCAGUGCUCCUGAUCUUUCCUCUUUCUUGCAAUCUCUCUUCACUUCUACUUCAUGUCUCUUUUGCUCCUUAUGGAAAUACUGAGCUAAGGACAAGUGUGGAGGGGUCCUCUUCCUCUCAUCUGGGAUGAAGAGCUGUGAACCAAAUGUCGGUGCCCCACAGUAGCUACCUCCUGAAGGAUGAGGAAGACUCUCCAGGUACAGCUCAGCCUCUGCACAUUCUCCAGUCCUGGUCUAAGAGGGGAGGACUCCAUCCAGAUAAUGGAGGAUGGGCAUAAAAGCUGCCACAGGAAGAACAGCAGGAAGUACCUGGAUGGAAAGCACCAGAAGCAUUCACAAAGGAAACGAACAAUGUUCACUGAAAAACAAUUAGCAGAUUUGGAAUGCUUGUUCAGUAAGAACCCAUACCCCAAUCCCAGCCUUCAGAGAGAAAUGGCCUCAAAACUGGAUAUCCAUCCCACAGUCCUGCAGGUCGGAAAAUAAAGCCCCACCUUGCCAAGCCUCCUCCCUGAAGACCCUUUACUCGGAGGCCCUAGGACAGUAUCACUCCAGUCCCUAAGACUCCACCCAACUCCUCCCCUGAAACCCUCUCUCCCAAUCCCUGGAGCAAAGAUCAGGACACUCUGUAAAGGAUCAGGCAGUAAAUAUUUUCAGCUUUGUGGCCCAUAUGGUCUCUGCCAAAAUUAUUCAACAGCAUGAAAGCAGCCAUCAACAAUAUGUAGACACAUGGAUGUGCCUGCUGCGUUCCUAUAAAAUUUUAUGGACACACAUUUGAAGUUCUUAUAAUUUUCACAUGUCAACAAAUACUCUUAUUGUGGGUUUUUUAUCUCUCAACCAUUUAAAAAUGUAAAGCCUGUUGUUCGGGGUACCUGGCUG
rnacentral:lncRNA from 1 species